UGCUGCAUUUUGGAAUUACAGUCUUGGUUGCAGCCGGAUGGCCAUUGCCUGCGGCGAGCUCCGAGAUGCAAGUGAAGCAAAGAACAAAGAAGGGUGCCAUAUGGUUCUUGAACAUAUCCGCCGUGAAUAUGCUGUCCUGCAGAAGAAUCUGAAUCAAAUUGCUCAGCUGGACCGAGCAAUUUAUGAAAAUGCGAUUAGAGGACGCUAUUAUUAAGUCGAGAGCUGCUAUGUUUGAUCUGUUCGGUCUCUCCAGAAGAUCAUAUUAUAUGUUCUUGUAUAAGUUUGAUAUUAUAACUUUUGAAUAAUUUCACAGUGAUCGAAGGAACAUUCCCCGUUUAAGACUUAGUUUUGGAUAUCCUUUGGUAGUGUCUUUAUGUUAUCUUUAAAUUUGGCUACUAUUGGAUUAUAAUCUCCACCACUUGAUUG